rnacentral:rRNA from 1 species
ACUCCUACGGGAGGCAGCAGUGGGGAAUAUUGCACAAUGGGGGAAACCCUGAUGCAGCCAUGCCGCGUGUGUGAAGAAGGCCUUCGGGUUGUAAAGCACUUUCAGUAGGGAGGAAGGUAGUGUAGUUAACACCUGCAUUAUUUGACGUUACCUACAGAAGAAGCACCGGCUAACUCCGUGCCAGCAGCCGCGGUAAUACGGAGGGUGCGAGCGUUAAUCGGAAUUACUGGGCGUAAAGCGCAUGCAGGCGGCCUGUUAAGUCAGAUGUGAAAGACCGGGGCUUAACCUCGGAAUUGCAUUUGAAACUGGCAGGCUAGAGUCUUGUAGAGGGGGGUAGAAUUUCAGGUGUAGCGGUGAAAUGCGUAGAGAUCUGAAGGAAUACCGGUGGCGAAGGCGGCCCCCUGGACAGAUACUGACACUCAGAUGCGAAAGCGUGGGGAGCAAACAGGAUUAGAUACCCUGGUAGGAUAGCG